AUUGAAGGCGUGUUGUUAUUAGUAAACUGCACCGUAAUUGGCGUCUUCCAAAACUUAAGUCCGAUGAGCGCACUGAAAAACAUGCGAGAUAUCCUUGUCGCACUUCUGAAGAAAAUUCUACCCCCUGUGGCGACAUUAUUAGAGAAUAUGCCCAUGUUAUCUUUUGGUAAUGACAUUGAAGAUAACGCAUGUCGCGGAGCUAUCAAGAUGGGUUUUCCCAGCAGUCUUGGCAAGUGCACGGAUAAUACGCUUAAGCUAUGCGAAAAUGGACAGACAAUCGACGUAAGUAGAUCCUUUUGAUUCAAUUCAAUAAAUUCCG
rnacentral:lncRNA from 1 species